rnacentral:rRNA from 1 species
GAGUUUGAUCCUGGCUCAGGACGAACGCUGGCGGCGUGCCUAAAACAUGCAAGUCGAACGGAGGUAGCAAUACCGUCAGUGGCGAACGGCGGAGUAAUACAUAAGCAACGUGCCCUAAAGACCGGGAUAGUCAGUGGAAACGCUGGGUAAUACCGGAUGUGGUAACUCAUCGGCAUCUUUGAGUUAUUAAAUGGUUUUUCGCUUUAGGAGCGGCUUAUUGGCCUAUCAGGUAGUAGGUGGGGUAAUGGCCCACCUAGCCGACGACGGGUAGCGGGUCUGAGAGGAUGAUCCGCUCGAGUGGGACUGAGACACGGCCCACACACCUACGGGUGGCAGCAGUUGGGAAUCUUGCACAAUGGGGGGAAACCCUGAUGCAGCGACGCCGCGUGGAGGAUGAAGGGAUCUAGGUCUGUAAACUCCUUUUAUCGGGAAAGACUUAGGACGGUACUCGAUGAAUAAGGACCGGCUAACUACGUGCCAGCAGCCGCCGUAAG